GCCCCUACGGAGGCAGCAGUGGGGAAUAUUGGGCAAUGGGCGCAAGCCUGACCCAGCAAUGCCGCGUGAAGGAAGAAGGCCCUCGGGUUGUAAACUUCUUUUAUCAGGGACGAAGGAUGUGACGGUACCUGAUGAAUAAGCUCCGGCUAACUACGUGCCAGCAGCCGCGGUAAUACGUAGGGAGCAAGCGUUAUCCGGAUUUACUGGGUGUAAAGGGCGCGUAGGCGGGAUGGCAAGUCAGAUGUGAAAUCCGGGAGCUCAACCCCUGAACUGCAUUUGAAACUGUCGUUCUUGAGUACUGGAGG
rnacentral:rRNA from 1 species